rnacentral:rRNA from 1 species
UGGGGAAUAUUGCACAAUGGGGGAAACCCUGAUGCAGCGACGCCGCGUGAGCGAAGAAGGCUUUCGAGUCGUAAAGCUCUGUCCUAUGAGAAGAUAAUGACGGUAUCAUAGGAGGAAGCCCUGGCUAAAUACGUGCCAGCAGCCGCGGUAAUACGUAUGGGGCGAGCGUUGUCCGGAAUUAUUGGGCGUAAAGGGUACGUAGGCGGUUUUUUAAGUCAGGUGUCAAAGCGUGGAGCUUAACUCCAUUAAGCACUUGAAACUGAAAGACUUGAGUGAAGGAGAGGGAAGUGGAAGUCCUAGUGUAGCGGUGAAAUGCGUAGAUAUUAGGCGGAAUACCGGUGGCGAAGGCGACUUUCUGGACUUUUACUGACGCUCAAGUACGAAAGCGUGGGGAGCAAACAGG